UAUGCAAACUGUCAGUGUUCGUGUGCCUUGGAGGAUUUGUGUAUUUGUUCACAGCAGCUCAGUUUGUGGUGAAAUGAUGAGUUUAAUUCAGUUUAUUCUCUUGGUGGUUCUUUAUCAUCAGUUCACAUGCAGUGUGUUUGGCUCUUCAGUUGAACGUGGUUCUUUAGAAUCUUCAUGGAGUGAUGUUGGGGAUGUAGCUGGAGACAAAGGUAACUUCAGUCAGAAUGCUACUGCUGAGCAAUCUUACACCAAUGCUAACUACAGUCAGAAUGCUACGGAGGAAUCAACCAAUGCCACCUUCAGUCAGAAUUCUGCUCCUUUAACCAACGGCAACUUCAGUCAGAAUUUAUUAUCCAUGCAUCAAAAUAAAACUAUUUAAAA